AAGGCUUUAGCUUAAUAAAAGUAUCUGAUUUGCAUUCAGAAGAUGCAGGAUAAUGUCCUGCAAGUCUUA
rnacentral:tRNA from 1 species